CCCUUAGAUGUUCUGGGCUGCACGCGCGCUACACUGACGCACGCAACAGGUGCCUGCUCCGAGAGGACUGGGUAAUCAUUUGAGUGUGCGUCGUGAUGGGGAUAGAAUAUUGUAAUUAUUACUCUUCAACGAGGAAUUCCUAGUAAGCGCCAGUCAGCAGCUCGCGUUGAUUACGUCCCUGCCCUUUGUACACACCGCCCGUCGCUACUACCGAUUGAACGGUUUAGUGAGGGCCUCGGAUUGGUCUCGGCCCGCUCUUUACCGGGCGGCGCCGUUGGUCGAGAAGACGCUCGAACUUGAUCGUUUAGAGGAAGUAAAAGUCGUAACA
rnacentral:rRNA from 1 species